rnacentral:tRNA from 1 species
AUUUUAAUAGUUUAUAAAAAAUAUUAAAUUGCAAAUUUAAAGAAAAUAAAUUUUUUAUUUUAAAAUU